GCCAUUUUUUUCAAGGAAGGAGCGCGGGAUUCAGGGGCGCCAUCUUUAUAAGGUAAAGAUGCAGAAAUGCGCAUGCGCGACUGUUUGAGAAUACUUCGAUGAAUGGCUCAACAAGAGUUGGUGUGAGUGAGCAGACACGCAGCAGAGAAUGACGGGUGAUCUCAGUUCCAGGGAAGGUGUUCUGAUUGAUGUCUACAGAUAAUAAUGGAAUGGAUGAGAGUUUCAGAAGCAGAUGAGCUGAGUCUGGGGCGAAGUCAGUGAUGAUAUUGAGGUGGAAAUCGGUGGUUUUACUGAUGAUAGGGACAUGUGGUUUGGGAAUUUCAGUUUUGGGUGAAAUAUGUCACCAAGGUCCUGAAAAGCCUGUUUCAGCGCUUACAGUUACAGUUCCCAAGGACAGAGAUUCAGUUGGCGGCUGCUGAAUGGAAUUCAUAACGGGGACUGAAGGCACUGACGUUCAUCCUCCUAAUAAUUGAUUAAAGCAAGACUCUGUUCCUCCAGUAUUGGAUGUCAAACAGGAUAUGCAAAGAGGAAGAUUUGAAGUCAGGAUACUGAAACCAAACACCAUGAUCUGAUGGAGUCACCUAAUUUAUCACAACCAGACUAUCAACAGAUUUUAAACAUAGAAGGAAAAAGCACCAUUCACGGUGGCAAGAACAGAUACACAUGUUCUGUGUGCAGAAAAGGCUUCACACCAAUCAACUGGCCUACAGAACCAUAAAUGCAGUUACAUUAGGGAGAAACCAUGGAAAUGCAGGACUAUAAGAAAGGAUUCAGUUGCCACUCUGGGCUGAACAUUCACCAAUGUGUUCACAUUAGGGAGAGGCCAUUCAUCUGCUCCCUUUUUGGGAGGGGAUUCACUCAGUUAUCCACCCUGCGGAAACACCAGCGAGUUCACACUGAGGAGAGACCCUUUUAAAUAUACAGACUGUGCGAAGUGCUGUAAAAAUUCUAGUGAGCUGAUAUCCCAUCAGCGUGUUCGCACUGAAGAGAGAUGGUUCAGGUGCACUGACUGUGGCUUCAAGUGAUCAUCUCAACUCACUGUUCACCAGUGCAUCCACACUGGGGAGAGGCCAUUCACCUGCUCGGAACGUGAAUUCGAUUCACUCAGUCAUCCCACCCAAGUCACACCAGCAGGUUCAUACUGAGGUGAGAACUUUUAAAUGUAAAGAUUGUGGGAAAUACUUCAAAAGCUGUCACUAUCUGUAGCCCCAUCAAUGUGUUCACACUGAGGACAGACCUUUUCAAUGUUCAGGGUAUGGGAAGUACUUUAAAAGCUCCUGGGAGCUGAUCGCCCAUCACCGUGUUCACACUGACGAGAGACUGUUCAGAUGCUCUCUCUAUGGAAAUGGGUUCAAGAGAUCAUCCCAACUCACUGUACACCAGCAUCUUCACAGAGGUCAUUCAUCUGUUCUGAAUGUGGGCAGGUAUUCGUUUAGUUCUCCAGCCUGUUGACACACCAGCCAGUUCAUUCUGGGGAGAGACCAUUUAGUGGCACUUAGUGUGAGAAAGGAUUUUGUGAGUCAUCCCAGCUCAUGGUACACCAUUGAGUUCACACUGAGAAGAGACCCUUCAAGUGUCCAGACUGAGAGAUUUUAUAAAAGCUCCUGGGAGCUGAAGUUUCACCAAUGUCUUCACACUAACAAUAGACCAUUCAGGUACUUUCUUUGUGGGUCUAGGUUCAGAUAGUCAUCUCGUCUCACUGUACACCAGCGCACUCACACCGGAGAGAGACCGUUCACCCACUCCAAGUGUGGGAAGGGUUUCACUCAGAAAAUCCACCUCCUGACACACCAGUGAAUUCACACCUUCUAAAUGCACAAAAUACAGAAUGUGCUAUGCAAGAUCCUGGGAUUUGGUACACAUCAAUGUGUUCACUCUAAUGAGAGGCUUUUUAAAUGUCCAGACUGACAGAAGUGUUUUUAAAAGCUCUGGGGAACUGAUGCUACAUCAAUGGUGUUCACGCCGAUGAGAGACCAUUCAGAUGCACUCACUGUUGGAUUAGGUUCAGAUGACCAUCUCAACUCACUGUGUACCAGUGAGUUCACACUGGACAGUGGCCGUUCAUCUGCACUGAAUGUUGUAAAGGAUUCACUCAGAAAUCCCACCUCAUGGUACACCUGCAGAGACGGCUGCGAGUCCAUGGGUGAUUUCAGGAGCUGUAAUUUGCUGUUAUUUACAUUCAGGUCAUAAACAUGUUAAAAUCUCCAGCCCAGCUUUAGGAUAUAAAACUAUGGAUAAAGAUAAUUAUUUGGAUUUUGCAUUGAACACAUAGUCUGCUGAAUCUAUUUUAACAUCCAGAACAAUUUCUUGUGAAUAUAGAUCAGAAAAACAAAUGACCCUGUAAUACACAUACUACACUGACAAUGGGUAACUUCAAUUUCCAUACAGACUGGGUGAACCAAAUCAGCAUGAAUGCUGUGGAGUGUCAAUUUCUGCAGUUUGUACUGAAGCAUUUAAGGUAUCAGCUUCAGGUUGAGAAUUUUGUAAAGAGAAGAGUAGUUAAUAACCUUGCUGUUAAGGAGCCUCCGUUAAAUAGUGACCAUAAUGUGGAAUUUUAAUCAAGUUUAAAAGUGCUAUAGAGACAAAAAUAGAAUUUGCUGGAAAAGCUCAGCAGGUCUGGCAGUAUCUAUGGAGAGAAAUCAGAGUUCAUGUUUCAUAUCGAGUGACCCUUUGUCAGUUCUGAGGAGUCCUCACAUCUAUUUUUGUCUCUGAUCUACAGCAUCUGCAGUUCUUUCAGUUUUGGAAGUGAUAUAGUUCAUUCUGGAAUUACGGUCUCGUCAGAACAAUGGAAACUAUGGAAUGGCAAGUUGUCUGUGAUUGGCAAAAAACAGAAAAUGAUUUGAAAGUACACAGGUAUUAGCAAGUAUGUGAAUAAGUAUUGCAUUGUUUACAACAAUUAUGCAUUUGUUGAAGACAGAAAUAUGCAGCGAGAAAAAAUAAAUCAGCUAUGGCUGACAAAAGGACUGAUAGGUUACAUCAGAUCAAAGGAUGUGGUUUGUAAGGUUGCAAGAAAAAGCGAUGAACCAGGGGAUUGGGAGUAAUUUAUAAUCCAACAAAGGAUGACCCAAAAACUGAUGGAAGGAGAAAAAAGAAGAUGUAUAGAAGCUCACAGCAAAUGUAAAGGUGGACUGUAAAAAUUGCCUUGGUAUGUGAAAUGUAAAAGCUGGUUGGUUUGGCACCCCCAACUAUCAACUUCAACAUUCACUCCCUCAUCACUGAUGCACAGUUGAAGACGUAUGUGCCAUCUCCAAGAUGCACAACAGUAAUUCCUCCAAAACAACCUGCUGAUGACUUUGAAAAUUGAGAAAGACAGUGGAUGCAUGGGAACAACACUUAAUGCAACUUCUCUCUCAAAGCAUAUGCACUGUGACUUUGAACAAAAUCACCUUCUUUCAGGAUCACUGGGUCAAUAAUAUGGAACUCUGUUCCUAAUAUCACAGUGGGUGCUCCAAUACCCUAUGGACAGCAAACAUUCAAGAAGGCAGCUCCCCACCACUUUCUACUGGGCAAUUAUGGUUUGGCAAUAAAUGCUAGCAGAGCCAGCAACACCCCCAUCCCAUGAAUAAAUAAAAAUUAUAGGAGCAAUACUUCACUGAAAUUGAGCAUUUGUAAAGGAUAUUGCUGGGAAAAUGGAUUCAGUAGCUGUUUAUGUUAAUAUCUUUCAAAAUUGUCACAUACAGACAGAGCCUGUUUUCUCUUUACUGCAAUAAACUUGUGUUGUUUUCGUGAACGAACAUUGGCAGCCUUAUAUGAAUAUGUCCAGUGACUAGCUAUUAUCUGAACUAAAUUUCAAAAAUAAAGUGUGUGAUUUAUCAAGCCAGGUUUCACUCUGAGAUUUAACUUGUGCAGUAUUACCAUCAACUGGGAUAAUAUUAUUUGGAGAAUGAGCAAUGAUUUCAAUGAAACCUCAGAAAUUCUUACAGUAUGGAUGUUGAUUGGACUUCUCUCUUUGCUGUUGAGUCUAGAACCAGGAGACAUAGUCUCUAAAUAAAGGGUAUGCCAUUUAAGACCAGGAUGAGGAGGAACUUUUCACUCAGAUGGAAUUCUGGACCCAGAGGUUCAUGGAAGCUCAAUCAUUGAAGAUGUUCAGUCAUAAAGCAAUAGAUUUCUGAAGGUGAAUGACAUAAUGAGAAAUGGGAAUACUGCAGGAAAGAAAUGAUCAGCUAUGAUCUAAUGGAAUGGUGGAGCAGGCUCAGGGGCCAAAUGGUCCAUUCCUGUUCCAAGUUGAAGAGCUUUCCCCAUCUCCUCCGUCCUCACGGCUGAAAACAAGUGAGGAGCUAAUGGACUUAGUCAUUCGAGUGAGAGCACCUGAUCAGUUACCUCUGCCGCAUCCCUCCCUUCCCCGAGUUUACCACGCAAAACUGCCUCUGAAGUUCUUCUAUGAACCUCAACUCGUAUCAUUCUCCAUUUCUCUCCUAUCUAAAUACUGCCAUGUCAAUGCUCAACUUCUGAUUGCCUGAACUUGAUUCCUAGGGUGUCCUUCAAGGAUCUAUCUAUGGUCCCUCAAAUUUUUUCAUCCACUGGGCAACAUCAGCUGAAAACAGUUCCAGAUGAAGAAUACGUGUUAACAUAUGGCAAAGCAAAUGAAAACCUGUGCAUCCCAGCUACUCACGACAUCAAAUACCACCUGCCUCGCCAAUGUCAGGGAUUGUGGAACCCAUAUUGAACUAUUUAAUCACUUCAGGACCCACAACACUAGAAUGAAAGAAAAUCAUCCUCAAUCCCCAGUGACUGUUCAAGAGAAGGGUAGGAUUUUAAAAAAGGCAUCAUUGAACUUUUGUUUAGAAAGCUGCAAUGUGAAGAUCCAAAAUGUCUGGGGCCAGGAAAGCCUUGAACAAGAAUAACCUCAACAGCAGGG